GACGAACGCUGGCGGCGUGCUUAACGCAUGCAAGUCGAACGGUAAGGCCCUUCGGGGUACACGAGUGGCGAACGGGUGAGUAACACGUGGGUGAUCUGCCCUGCACUCUGGGAUAAGCCUGGGAAACUGGGUCUAAUACCGGAUAUGAGCUCCUGUCGCAUGGCGGGGGUUGGAAAGGUUUACUGGUGCAGAAUGGGCCCGCGGCCUAUCAGCUUGUUGGUGGGGGAAUGGCCUACCAAGGCGACGACGGGGAGCCGGCCUGAGAGGGCGACCGGCCACACGGGGACGGAGACACGGCCCGGACUCGUACGGGAGGCAUCAGUGGGGAAUAUUGCACAAUGGGAGGAAGCCUGAUGCAGCGACGCCGCGUGGGGGGUGACGGCCUUCCGGUUGUAAACCUCUUUCAGCAGGGACGAAGCGAGAGUGAUGGUACCUGCAGAAGAAGCUCCGGCCAACUACGUGCCAGCAGCCGCCGUAA
rnacentral:rRNA from 1 species